rnacentral:rRNA from 1 species
AUGGAAUUCGCCCUCGUCGACGGCGAGAAGUUCUCGCCCUCCUGCUCCACGCUUGUCAUGCCCGCGCUUUCGAUCGGCAACGUGGGGCAGCUCGCCGUGGACCUGCUGAUACCUUCGGCGAAGGCGAGGCGCGUGGCGUACCUCGACGAGCCCUCCGUGCUGCCCUGCAUCGGCAACGACGCCUUCGGACCGGACGCCGUCGGCGACCUCGCGCUCGCGCUCGAAGAAUACGAAUCACCGUCUCACGGGCUGGCUUUCAUUCAACAAAGAUCUCCAGUUAUUACGGGGAUGAUGGUUUCGUUUGCCAAAAAUGUUGCUAAUUUCAUCAGUAGCAUUGGGAAGGACCAUGUUGUUAUUCUUUCAAGUUUAGAUUCUGGCAAGAGAAGAGUAAUUGAUGCAUCCAGUGAUAUGCUGUAUUACCUUUCAAGCUGCAAUGAGGAUGGUUCUGAUCCAGAAUGUGAGAAACUAGGGUGGAAGAAACUUGAGGAAUAUGAUCCAUCUCAACGACUGUGGAAAUGUCUUGCUAGUCUAAUUGAGGGUGGUGUUCUUUCAGAAGAUAUGGCUGAUGAUCCUGAAGAGAUGACCGCAAGUGAUUACUACGCGACCUUGCCAUUUGCAGCUCUAUUCUUUGCCUGCAAGGCCAAAGGUUUGAAAGUUAGCUGUGUAUUAUGUUACUGUUCAGAAGGGGACAAUAUGCCAGAAUCUUUCCACUUAGCAGAAGCAGUAUGCAAACUUCGAGGUCAAGACCCUGAACAAUUCCACGGAAAUGGGUCAAAUGGAUGGACUAUUCCCUUGUCAUGGAAAUCAAUUUAUGGACCACCUCCUGAUAUGUCUAUUUUCUAG